AUACGGAGGAUGCAAGCGUUAUCCGGAUUUAUUGGGUUUAAAGGGAGCGCAGGCGGAGAUGCAAGCGUGACGUCAAAUUUCGGGGCUCAACCCCGUCUCGCGUCGCGAACUGCGUCCCUUGGUUGCGGGAAGGGGAGGCGGAACUCGUGGUGUAGCGGUGAAAUGCAUAGAUAUCACGAAGAACUCCGAUCGCGAAGGCAGCCUUCCGGCCCGUCAACGACGCUCAUGCUCGAAGGUGCGGGUAUCAAACAGGAUUAGAUACCCUGGUAGUCCGCACAGUAAACGAUGGACACCCGCGGUUUGGCCUGUAUGGCUGAGCCGCCAAGCGAAAGCGUUAAGUGUCCCACCUGGGGAGUACGCCGGCAACGGUGAAACUCAAAGGAAUUGACGGG
rnacentral:rRNA from 1 species